rnacentral:rRNA from 1 species
UACGGAGGGGGCUAGCGUUGUCCGAAGUUACUGGGCGUAAAGCGCGCGUAGGCGGGUUGGUAAGUCCGCUGUGAAAGCCCGGAGCUCAACUCCGGAGGGUCGGUGGAUACUGCCAGUCUUGAAGGUGCUAGGGGGAGAUGGAAUUACCGGUGUAGCGGUGAAAUGCGUAGAUAUCGGUAGGGACACCAGUGGCGAAGGCGGUCUCCUGGGGCAUUCUUGACGCUGAGGCGCGAAAGCUGGGGGAGCGAACGGG